rnacentral:tRNA from 1 species
AUUUAUAUAGUUUAACAAAAACAUUACAUUUUCACUGUAAAAAUAAAAUUUUUAUUUUUAUAAAUU